AGAGUUUGAUCAUGGCUCAGAACGAACGCUGGCGGCGUGGAUAAGACAUGCAAGUCGAACGGGAUAUUCUUGGUAGCAAUAUUAAGGAUGUCUAGUGGCGUAAGGGUGCGUAACACGUGGGGAAUCUGCCGAGAAGUGGGGGAUAGCUCGUCGAAAGGCGAAUUAAUACCGCAUGUGGUUAGUGCUGGAUUCAGCGCGAUACCAAAGCCGGGGCAACCUGGCGCUUCUUGAUGACCCCGCGGCCUAUCAGCUAGUUGGUGAGGUAACGGCUCACCAAGGCUAUGACGGGUAGCUGGUCUGAGAGGACGACCAGCCACACUGGAACUGAGACACGGUCCAGACACCUACGGGUGGCAGCAGUCGAGAAUUUUUCUCAAUGGGGGAAACCCUGAAGGAGCGACGCCGCGUGGAGGAUGAAGGUCUUCGGAUUGUAAACUCCUGUCAUUUGGGAACAAUUGCCACCGGUUAACUGCCGGGGGUUUGAUAGUACCAGAAGAGGAAGAGACGGCUAACUCUGUGCCAGCAGCCGCGGUAAUACAGAGGUCUCAAGCGUUGUUCGGAUUCAUUGGGCGUAAAGGGUGCGUAGGUGGCGGGGUAAGUCAGGUGUGAAAUCUCGGAGCUCAACUCCGAAACUGCACUUGAUACUGCCUUGCUCGAGUACUGGAGAGGAGAUUGGAAUUUACGGUGUAGCAGUGAAAUGCGUAGAUAUCGUAAGGAAGACCAGUGGCGAAGGCGAAUCUCUGGACAGUUACUGACACUGAGGCACGAAGGCCAGGGGAGCAAACAGGAUUAGAUACCCUAGUAGUCC
rnacentral:rRNA from 1 species